UGUUGUUAGAAACGUAAGCCU
rnacentral:piRNA from 1 species